UAUAACCGGUACGGGNCCGCGGGAGCGGUAGCCCGGAGAUGGGCACUUAGACAAGNGCCCAGGCCCUACGGGGCGCAGCAGUCGCGCAACCUCUGCAAUACGCGAAAGCGUGACAGGGCUAUCCCGAGUGCCGUCCGCUGAGGAUGGCUUUUCUCUGGUGUAGUGAGCCGGAGGAAUAAGGAGAGGGCAAGUCUGGUGUCAGCCGCCGCGGUAAUACCAGCUCUCCGAGUGGUAGGGACGAUUAUUGGGCCUGAAGCGUCCGUAGCCGGCUAAGUAAGUUUCCCGUUAAAUCCAGCGAUCUAAUCGUUGGCUUGCGGGAAAUACUGUUUGGCUAGGGGGCGAGAGAGGCCAACGGUAUUUCCGGGGUAGGGGUGAAAUCUUAUAAUCCCGGGAGGACCACCAGUGGCGAAGGCUGUUGGCUAGAACGCGCUCGACGGUGAGGGACGAAAGCUGGGGGAGCGAACCGGAUUAGAUACCCGGGUAGUCCCAGCUGUAAACGAUGUGGACUAGGUGUUAGGGCGGCUACGAGCCGCUCUAGUGCCGCAGGAAAGCCAUUAAGUCCACCGCCUGGGGAGUACGGCCGCAAGGCUGAAACUUAAAGGAAUUGGCGGGGGAGCAC
rnacentral:rRNA from 1 species